UACAGAGGUCUCAAGCGUUGUUCGGAUUCAUUGGGCGUAAAGGGUGUGUAGGUGGCGCGCUAAGUCGGGUGUGAAAUUUCGGAGCUUAACUCCGAAACUGCAUUCGAUACUGGCGUGCUUGAGGACUGGAGAGGAGACUGGAGUUUACGGUGUAGCAGUGAAAUGCGUAGAUAUCGUAAGGAAGACCAGUGGCGAAGGCGGGUCUCUGGACAGUUCCUGACACUGAGACACGAAGGCCAGGGGAGCAAACGGG
rnacentral:rRNA from 1 species